UCGGGAAUUUUGGGCAAUGGGCGAAAGCCUGACCCAGCAACGCCGCGUGAAGGAUGAAGUAUUUCGGUAUGUAAACUUCGAAAGAAUAGGAAGAAUAAAUGACGGUACUAUUUAUAAGGUCCGGCUAACUACGUGCCAGCAGCCGCGGUAAUACGUAGGGACCAAGCGUUGUUCGGAUUUACUGGGCGUAAAGGGCGCGUAGGCGGCAAUUCAAGUCAUCUGUGAAAUCUCCGGGCUUAACUCGGAACGGUCAGAUGAUACUGCUUUGCUAGAGUGCAGAAGGGGCAAUCGGAAUUCUUGGUGUAGCGGUGAAAUGCGUAGAUAUCUACUGGAAUGCCGAUGGUGAAGACGCGCGACUGGGCCUGUCCUGACGCUGAGGUGCGAAAGCGUGGGGAGCAAACAGGAUUAGAUACCCAAGUAGUCCCUGAGCGGGCUGGCAAGGCGCAU
rnacentral:rRNA from 1 species